AGUGAACGCUGGCGGCGUGCCUAAUACAUGCAAGUCGAACGAAGUGGCGCACGGGUGAGUAAUAUAUGGUUAAUAAACCCUAUACUGAGGAACAACAAUUGGUAACAACUGCUGAUACCUCAUAGUGUAGGAUGAUGCGCUAUCGUUUCAGCUAGUUGGUAAGGUAGUAGCGUACCAAGGCUAUGACGCGUAACUGGUCGGCGAGGAUGAUCAGUCACAUUGGAACUGAGGCACCGUUCAAACUCCUACGGGAGGGGGCAGAAACGAAUUGUACGCAAUGGGGGAAUACCUGACGCAGCUCCGCGGCGUGGAGUAGGUCAAUUGUCGGGGCGGAAACUCCAUUUAUCACGAAAGCGUUACCUGAUGAAUAAGCACCGGCUAACUCCGUGCCAGCAGCCGUGGUAAUUC
rnacentral:rRNA from 1 species